UCCUUUAUCUGACACGACUGCUUACAAAAGUUAAAAAUAAAUAAACUCUGAUGCUAGCAGAGCACACACAAGAAAAAUAACUGCACUGGAUCCCAAGACGGGUGGACCUCUUUCUUAAUGUCCAGUGUCCUUUGUCUUAAGAUUUGGUGCAAUAAGU